UCCUGUUUUGUUACUCUCAUGUUCUCUUCCCCCAUCUGAAUUAACCUACACUUCCUGUUGAGGACUAGAAGUGGCUCUUCAUAGGAAACGAAACACGGAACUGAUGAAGGUAGACUUUUCAAGAGCAUUCCCACCCAGAACACCACCACUGAAAAGGUCCUCUCUGCUGCUGCUACUACCUGCCUCACCUCUGAUGACAGGGACACCUAGAGAAUGAAGGGGCUCCAUUGCAAAUCUUAAAGGCCAGGCAGGUUCACAUGGAAGAAGACGGCCGUUAAGAUAUUCUGGUCCGGAGCCCUUUAGGACUUAAAAGUCAAAUGGAUAUUUUGCGCCUCUAGUCUACAUACCCCAAGAUUCGAUCCUUCGCUAUCCUGCUCCCAUCCCACAGCAGGGCAAGCCUUCAUGACUGUUGACCAUGGAUAAAGUCUCCCCAGCUACUGCCCAGGUGACAGCCCUGGAUGCUCUCACAGUUCUGUCACUUGCCUCCGACACACAUGGAUUUCCCAAAUAUGGCUUCUGAUGUUGCAAUGAGGAAGAACAUGACCCAACAGGAUGCUGUAGCAGUUGGCCCAACACUCAUUUUCUGCGUUGAAUGUGGGGGAAGAAGCUGUUACAGCAAUGGCCUACUAAUCGCUUCCACUGUAGUAACUUGAGCAACACUGAUGAUGCAUCAUGCUUGGGGCAAAGGAAGGAACUGCCUGACAAGUCUGUACUGUGGGGCUGAAUUCAUGUGGCAGUUUGCCAUAAUGAGAUGCAUCGUUCUUCAGUGUGUGAAGAUGAGCAUUCCCAGAACCUGCAAAACGAUGCAAACAAAUGUGGGCACAAUACAGAACAUGAUGAUUCGAAAGCCCAGAUGACUGUUCGCCACUCACAGCAUGCAUUUUUCUGGGAAACCUAACCUAUUUAGAGAAACUGUUUAAACAGAACAAUUAAAUUUGGUUCUAGCAAGAAUAUUGGACAAUGGCAACUGAGCCUAAAGUUUCAAUAGCAAUGCACAGGGGUUUUAUGGCAGAGAAGCAGAAUUUCUUUGGCAAAUAUAGAUAUGGAAAGUGUUCCUUGAAGGCUAGAAACAAGGCUUGAAAACCAACCUAAUGUAUCACUGUCUCAGCUACAGUAUUGUCAAACACUAAAUACUAGCACAUGUCAACUAUCAAAUACUGUAGAAUAUCAACUGUCAGAUAUCAAAUA